AAGCGGGGGAGCCUGUAAACAGGCUGAGAGGAAGGUGCGACCUUCGACCCUUGAACCUGAUGCGGGUCAUGCCGCCGUAGGGAGCGA
rnacentral:ncRNA from 1 species